GUGGGGAAUCUUGCGCAAUGGGCGAAAGCCUGACGCAGCCAUGCCGCGUGAAUGAUGAAGGUCUUAGGAUUGUAAAAUUCUUUCACCGGGGACGAUAAUGACGGUACCCGGAGAAGAAGCUCCGGCUAACUUCGUGCCAGCAGCCGCGGUAAUACGAAGGGGGCUAGCGUUGCUCGGAAUUACUGGGCGUAAAGGGCGCGUAGGCGGACAGCUUAGUCAGAGGUGAAAGCCAAGGGCUCAACCUUGGAAUUGCCUUUGAUACUGGCUGUCUUGAGUUUGGGAGAGGUGGGUGGAACUCCGAGUGUAGAGGUGAAAUUCGUAGAUAUUCGGAAGAACACCAGUGGCGAAGGCGACUCACUGGCCCAAUACUGACGCUGAGGCGCGAAAGCGUGGGGAGCAAACAGGAUUAGAAACCCGAGUAGUCC
rnacentral:rRNA from 1 species